GGUAUAGGUCACAUGAAUGAUUUUAUCUUAUAUUUCUAACACGCGUCCCUUACACAAGAGCUAACUUUGACUUGAAGCCUAAAUAAUUUACAAACUCACCCGCACAAUGGCUGAGGGACUUAUGGGUUGGGUAGGAGCGAUCCAUUGAUCGAUCUCUUGCACCUUUUCUUUAAAUGUCACUAAAGAGAGUGCGUCCUGUUGGGGAAGACAGGGGAGCUCAUGGGCCGAUGAGCAAGACAUCAAGAGAUCUUAGACACCACAUCUUAACCCUGGGCCCUUAUAAAGGGUAGAGCAACCCUCAACUCUUGAGCUAGCUUUUGUGGUUGAGUAUAGACCUCCCAAUUUCUAAUACUUCCCGCGAUAAAAUGAGGGAGGUAAAUAGGAACGGUGUUGCAAUCACAAACCAAACUCAGGAUUGUUGUUCUUGCCGUGAGAGAAUCAGAGAGGGCGUUGAAGGCGAACAGAGGCGGCGUGCGCUGAACUCCGACGAUGUCGUCCAGAGGAAGCGGAGCCCCAUCCACCACUGCAGUGGUUGAUUGAGAUGACGACGAAGAGGUGUCAUUUACAAGAACAUAAGCCUUAGCCAGUAGCCAUAUAGAACUGUCAACACCUUUUCUGCAGGCCGGUAGACCUUACUAUCAACACCAAAUGGGAUAUAAUGGUCGACUCCUUGAUGAGAAUGUGGCAGACUUAACUCAAUGGCCAACGGCUUUAAAGUUCCAUCAUUUCUCAAGAAAAGGAAGGUUCUGGAAGCAUAAGCCUUUGUGGUUGUUGAGUUUAUACGUUUUAGAUAUGGAAUUAUCAGGUCAUGGUGAUCUAGUAGGAACAAUUUCUUGUUCUGGAUUGCCUGCUCAAUGAAAUUUAACUUGGUUAGUUUUAUUCAUUGGAACAAUAUCAACAAUGAUGGUACUAUAUAUGACUGCAAAGUAACAUCAAAUUUAGCUGCAUAAAAAACAACUAAUUAUCAAUAUGGGGUGCAAAAAAUUAUCUUUACCGCAUC